UACGUAGGGGGCAAGCGUUGUCCGGAUUUAUUGGGCGUAAAGCGCACGCAGGCGGUCUCUUAAGUUUUGAGUGACAGGUGGUGGCUCAACUGCCACAGGCCUCAGAAGACUGGGAGACUUGAGGACGAGAGAGGGAUGCGGAAUUCCCGGUGUAGUGGUGAAAUGCGUAGAGAUCGGGAGGAAUACCUGUGGCGAAGGCGGCCUACUGGGCCGGACCUGACGCUGAGACGCGAAGGCGUGGGGAGCGAACGGG
rnacentral:rRNA from 1 species